GUUGGGCUCAAUUUAUUUCUCUACUCCUCCCCCUCUCUACCUGCUGCGCUGCCGCCACCUUCCGGCGCCGGCGCCGGCGCCUCCGGCGGAUCUCUUUCUCCCCCCUCCGUCUCUCCUUAUCAUCUCUUUUUCUCUCCUAUCUCUUUCCUUCCCCUUCCUCUAUCAUCUCCCUCGAUCUCGCCGGAGCUCCGCCACCAGCCCGCCACCGCCCUAUCUCUCUUUUGGAUCCGCCGCCGCCACUGUGCAUGCCUCCGGACAGCAGGCAAGCUCUCUGCCACUGCACUCUCUCUCUCGGCGCUGCCACCUCGCCCCGUCGCCACCACUGCCGCCGUUUCGCCGACUCCCCAAAGGUUGUGAAAUUAGUGACGAAUUGGGGUGUGGGGCUGCCACCGUCGGCAACGGUGUGCCAAAACUCAGUCGCCGGAGUUCCGGCAGAUUCCUAUUCGGGAGAUAAGUUUCUUGACUUGUGUUUAUUAUGGUUAUAGGACUUGGAUUGACUAUUAUAUGGAUUUGGUAACUCUUGAUUCUUGAAUAAUGUGUUGCUACUUGGAAGACUUAUGAUGUAACAUGUUAAUCUCACUGUGUUGGUAACAUUGGGCAGAUUCUUAUUUGCAACUAAUAUAUGCAUGCUUCGUAGUU